rnacentral:rRNA from 1 species
UACGGGGGGGGCAAGCGUUGUUCGGAAUUACUGGGCGUAAAGGGCUCGUAGGCGGCCAACUAAGUCGGACGUGAAAUCCCCAGGCUCAACCUGGGAACUGCAUUCGAGACUGCAUUGCUAGAGUAUGGGAGAGGGAAGUGGAAUUUCCGGUGUAGCGGUGAAAUGCGUAGAUAUCGGAAGGAACAUCAGUGGCGAAAGCGACUUCCUGGACCAAUACUGACGCUCAUGUGCGAAAGCGUGGGGAGCAAACAGG